rnacentral:rRNA from 1 species
GACGUAGGGCGCGAGCGUUGUCCGGAUUUAUUGGGCGUAAAGAGCUCGUAGGCGGUCUGUCGCGUCUGCUGUGAAAAUCAGGGCUCAACCCUGGACCUGCAGUGGGUACGGGCAGACUAGAGUGCGGUAGGGGAGAUCGGAAUUCCUGGUGUAGCGGUGAAAUGCGCAGAUAUCAGGAGGAACACCGGUGGCGAAGGCGGAUCUCUGGGCCGUAACUGACGCUGGAGGAGCGAAAGCAUGGGGAGCGAACAGGA